rnacentral:rRNA from 1 species
UACAGAGGGGGCAAGCGUUGUUCGGAAUUACUGGGCGUAAAGGGCGCGUAGGCGGCCUUCUAAGUCGAACGUGAAAUCCCCGGGCUCAACCCGGGAACUGCGUCCGAUACUGGAAGGCUUGAAUCCGGGAGAGGGAUGUGGAAUUCCAGGUGUAGCGGUGAAAUGCGUAGAGAUGCGGAGGAACACCAGUGGCGAAAGCGGCUUUCUGGUCCUUAACUGACGCUGAGGCGCGAAAGCAUGGGGAGCGAACGGG